rnacentral:rRNA from 1 species
GCGGCAGGCCUAACACAUGCAAGUCGAGCGGAUGAGUGGAGCUUGCUCCAUGAUUCAGCGGCGGACGGGUGAGUAAUGCCUAGGAAUCUGCCUGGUAGUGGGGGACAACGUUUCGAAAGGAACGCUAAUACCGCAUACGUCCUACGGGAGAAAGCAGGGGACCUUCGGGCCUUGCGCUAUCAGAUGAGCCUAGGUCGGAUUAGCUAGUAGGUGAGGUAAUGGCUCACCUAGGCGACGAUCCGUAACUGGUCUGAGAGGAUGAUCAGUCACACUGGAACUGAGACACGGUCCAGACUCCUACGGGAGGCAGCAGUGGGGAAUAUUGGACAAUGGGCGAAAGCCUGAUCCAGCCAUGCCGCGUGUGUGAAGAAGGUCUUCGGAUUGUAAAGCACUUUAAGUUGGGAGGAAGGGCAGUAAGUUAAUACCUUGCUGUUUUGACGUACCAACAGAA